GUGUCAGCCGCCGCGGUAAUACCGGCAGCUCAAGUGAUGACCGAUUUUAUUGGGCCUAAAGCGUCCGUAGCUGGCCGCGCAAGUCUGUCGGGAAAUCCACCCGCUUAACGGGUGGGCGUCCGGCGGAAACUGCGUGGCUUGGGACCGGAAGGCGCGACGGGUACGUCCGGGGUAGGAGUGAAAUCCCGUAAUCCUGGACGGACCACCGGUGGCGAAAGCGCCUCUGGAAGACGGAUCCGACGGUGAGGUACGAAAGCUCGGGUCACGAACCGG
rnacentral:rRNA from 1 species